CCUACGGGUGGCAGCAGUGAGGAAUAUUGGUCAAUGGCCGAGAGGCUGAACCAGCCAAGUCGCGUGAGGGAAGACGGCCCUACGGGUUGUAAACCUCUUUUGUCGGGGAGCAAAGAGAGUCACGUGUGACUCAUUGAGAGUACCCGAAGAAAAAGCAUCGGCUAACUCCGUGCCAGCAGCCGCGGUAAUACGGAGGAUGCGAGCGUUAUCCGGAUUUAUUGGGUUAAAAGGGUGCGCAGGAGGAGGUGCAGGUCAGCGGUCAAAUUGCGGGACUAAACCCCGUACUGCCGUUGAAACUGCAUGCCUUGAGUGCGCGAGAAGUAUGCGGAAUGCGUGGUGUAGCGGUGAAAUGCAUAGAUAUCACGCAGAACUCCGAUUGCGAAGGCAGCAUACCGGCGCGCAACUGACGCUCAUGCACGAAAGCGUGGGUAUCGAACAGGAUUAGAUACCCCAGUAGUC
rnacentral:rRNA from 1 species